rnacentral:lncRNA from 1 species
AUUUCUGAUACAGUAAAUAUCGAUAGACACAAUGUCAGUAGACAAAGUCCACACAUUUAAACAAGAGCUCUUUGGGUCCGUAAUAAUUUUUCAGAGUGUAAAGGGGUUCUGAGACCAAAAAGCUUCAGCACUGAUGCAAUAGUAUAGGAUAGCAGUUCCAGUGGCGGCAGAGGAAGGGAGGAGAGGACCUACGGAGACUGCUGGAUUUUCAGUCUCCCCACUCAGCCACCGCACAUCUUUAGCCCAGCAAUCAAGGCUUGGGAACAAGAGCUAUAAACUAUAUUCCAGGCGUUCCCAUCAUGGCACAGUGGAAACGAAUCCAACGAGGAACCAUAAGGUUGCAGGUUUGAUCCCUGGUCUUGCUCAGUUGGUUAAGGAUCCAGUGUUGCCGUGAGCUGUGGUGUAGGUUGCAGACGUGGCUCGGAUCUGGCAUUGCUGUGGCUCUGGCAUAGGCCGGCGGCUACAGCUCCGAUUAGAUCCCUAGCCUGGGAACCUCCAUAUGCCACGGGUGCAGCCGUAAAAGGACAAAAGACAAAAAUUUUUUUAAUUUUAAAAAUUUAAAAAUAAAUAAACUAUGAGACUUGGGUGUUGCACUGCGUAAAGAGAAGACCAGGAAAGGGCAUCACAUGAGAGUAAGGCACCUUCACAGCCAUGAAGGAAGGUAUUUAGAAACACCAAAGCUGGUUGGUAAAGUCAAGCUGCCAGGGCCACAGCUGGUCCACUUGGGCUCAAGAGCAUGGCGAGGGAGGAGCCAGGGAUAUUCUCUAAAGCAGCAAAACUCGAAUUCCCUUCCUCCUGCUCUGGCCCAUUUCUUAAAAGUGACCUAAACCCUUCAGUGGCCUUUAAGAACCAACAGUUCUUCUAGGCCACAGUCCCACAUGGUUGAUUAGAAUAGGUCAACAUGAAAAGAAACCAGGCUUAAAGAGAAAAAAAAAUGAUGUAUGGAGUUCCCAUUGUGGCAGAGCAGAAACGAAUCCGACUAGGAACCACGAUCCCUGGCCUCACUCAGUAGGUUAAGGAUCCAGCGUUGCCGUGUGAGCUGUGGUGUAGGUCGCAGACAUGGCUCGGAUUUGGCAUUGCUGUGGCUGUGCUGUAGGCCAGUAGCUACAUCUCUGAUUAGACCC